ensembl:miRNA
UAUGGGUUCAAAGGGAACUCCAUUGGACAGAAAUUUCUUUUUGAGGAAAUCUUUCCCUGGAGUUUCUUCUUACUUUUUUCC